rnacentral:rRNA from 1 species
UACGUAGGGCGCAAGCGUUAUCCGGAAUUAUUGGGCGUAAAGAGCUCGUAGGCGGUUUGUCGCGUCUGCCGUGAAAGUCCGGGGCUCAACUCCGGAUCUGCGGUGGGUACGGGCAGACUAGAGUGAUGUAGGGGAGACUGGAAUUCCUGGUGUAGCGGUGAAAUGCGCAGAUAUCAAGAGGAACACCGGUGGCGAAGGCGGUGGUCUGGGCCGGCACUGACGCUGAGGAGCGAAAGCGUGGGUAGCAAACAGG